GCGGCGUGCUUACACAUGCAAGUCGAACGAUGAACCGCUUUCGGGCGGGGAUUAGUGGCGAACGGGUGAGUAACACGUGGGCAAUCUGCCCUGCACUCUGGGACAAGCCCUGGAAACGGGGUCUAAUACCGGAUAUGACCGUCUGCCGCAUGGUGGAUGGUGUAAAGCUCCGGCGGUGCAGGAUGAGCCCGCGGCCUAUCAGCUUGUUGGUGAGGUAGUGGCUCACCAAGGCGACGACGGGUAGCCGGCCUGAGAGGGCGACCGGCCACACUGGGACUGAGACACGGCCCAGACUCCUACGGGAGGCAGCAGUGGGGAAUAUUGCACAAUGGGCGAAAGCCUGAUGCAGCGACGCCGCGUGAGGGAUGACGGCCUUCGGGUUGUAAACCUCUUUCAGCAGGGAAGAAGCGAAAGUGACGGUACCUGCAGAAGAAGCGCCGGCUAACUACGUGCCAGCAGCCGCGGUAAUACGUAGGGCGCAAGCGUUGUCCGGAAUUAUUGGGCGUAAAGAGCUCGUAGGCGGCUUGUCACGUCGGUUGUGAAAGCCCGGGGCUUAACCCCGGGUCUGCAGUCGAUACGGGCAGGCUAGAGUUCGGUAGGGGAGAUCGGAAUUCCUGGUGUAGCGGUGAAAUGCGCAGAUAUCAGGAGGAACACCGGUGGCGAAGGCGGAUCUCUGGGCCGAUACUGACGCUGAGGAGCGAAAGCGUGGGGAGCGAACAGGAUUAGAUACCCUGGUAGUCCACGCCGUAAACGGUGGGCACUAGGUGUGGGCAACAUUCCACGUUGUCCGUGCCGCAGCU
rnacentral:rRNA from 1 species